GUCUUUUUUGGCACAGGUUGAUGCUACCUUCAGCCUUGCACAGAGAAGCUUCUUUUGGCUGUGGGCACUGAUUAGAAUCUCCUGAGUAGGGGGCCUCACCUGAAGACUUCUCCUUGGUGGUAUCCUUGGGCACCAGCCCGGGACUCUUGAGACACCCUGCUUCGUGGGCUGAAUAACAACCAGUCCUCUCCCCACUCCCAUGUUUAGACAGUUAUCGUGGGGCUACUCUGACUGUUGAACUCCAGUCUUAAAGAAGAGCAGCAAGGUGUCAGCCACUCAGCUUGAUGAACUACACAUUGGAUGAACUUCAAAUGUUUAACUAAGAGACAUAUGCGAGUUCAUAAAAUCCUGACCUUGUUUUACUCUAAGUUCGGAUUGUACUGUCAGAGCCACACUACAACAAGAAACCAUGGGUCCUGGACUGAGAAGUUGCUGUGCAAACAGAUGUAUUAUUUUACAGAAGACACUUAUUGGCUCUGGUAUGCUUUGGUAUUGCUGAAUUGCUUUGUAUGAAAAUUGUCGUGUUUAGAUAAAGAAAUCCUAAAGAUGCAUCCAAAAGAGAAGAAACACAUCUGUUCUGCCUGAACGAGGAUAUUUAAACUAAAUCCUCUCCAUGUUGGAGGAUUCAGAUUGGAGGCUGCGGAUCACGUAUCUUCCAGAGUUUUCUAUUUCUGACAUAAGAUGAGUUAUAAAAUCUUGAACAUCAGCUUAAUGGAAGAGAUGGUGAGGUCUACUGAAGCCAUCAGAGGCUUUGACUCCUCCCACCCCCUUGGUCUAUCUACUGAAGCCGUCAGAGGCUCUGACUCCCCCCCACCCCUUUAGUGAGCCAGAUACUUGAGUAUACUCUACAAUUGACAGCUGGCUUGAGAGGAAGUUCUGUCCACUAACCAAGACCAGGCUAACGAGUGAAUUGAGGAGUGAAAUCAUGAACUAGAGAUUUAGGUUGAAAUACUGACCUAUGACUUUGGUUGAUUUUCUUAAGCUCAUGAUGCAAUUCCAACAGAAGGUUGGAUUUUGGUCACCACUCAUCACUUAGAGCAUGAAGAAUCACAACAUACUGAGAUGAGCUCACAGAAGAUGCCAUUUUUCAGAAGAAUUAAAGCUUAUAAAGAGGAAAAUGAAUGUUUCUCAAAUCCUCAACAAAUUCCCUCUUGGGAAAAGUAUACAUGACAUUAACAGUGGGAACAUAUUUCCUAUGCAAACUGACAUUCUUCGAAGACAUGAAGAUCCCCUAGUGAAGAUUGUCACUAGCAACUCAUCAUACUAGAAGUGAUUUUUUUGUAACAGAGUGUGCUACAUACCCCACCCACAAAUUUAUCCUCUUCUAGACAAUCCAUCUGUCCAGCCUAGGUCAUUCCAGAACCCCUCAGGCAUCUCUAACUGAUUUCUGAGCUUUUUUAUUCAAAUGUCAUCUCAAACUCAGACUUGACCCAUCCAAUCCUUAUCUCUUUAAUCCAUCACCUGUUUCAAUAUUCUAGUCUUUGGGAAUGGUUUCACCAUCUUUACUAGCAAAUUAAAACCCAAAAUUUUGAUCUUCAGUACACAAAAUUUACACUUAUAAGAUUGCCACAUCAAUCAGUAAAAUAAAAGAGAAGCAAACUACAAAAAACAAACUAAGCCUCCCAGGAGGCACAUUUCCAUAAGGACUGUGGAAUCUUCAAAAAAGUUAUAAAAGCAAGCAUUCU